AGCGAACGCUGGCGGCAGGCCUAACACAUGCAAGUCGAGCGCCCGGGCAACCGGGAGCGGCAGACGGGUGAGUAACACGUGGGAACAUGCCCUUGGUUCGGAAUAACUCAGGGAAACUUGAGCUAAUACCGAAUACGUCCGUAAGGAGAAAGAUUUAUCGCCGAAGGAUUGGCCCGCGUCUGAUUAGCUAGUUGGUGGGGUAAUGGCCCACCAAGGCUACGAUCAGUAGCUGGUCUGAGAGGAUGAUCAGCCACACUGGGACUGAGACACGGCCCAGACUCCUACGGGAGGCAGCAGUGGGAAUAUUGGACAAUGGGCGCAAGCCUGAUCCAGCCAUGCCGCGUGAGUGAUGAAGGCCCUAGGGUUGUAAAGCUCUUUCGGCGGGGGAAGAUAAU
rnacentral:rRNA from 1 species